rnacentral:lncRNA from 1 species
GUCUCGCCCACUCCACCCCUCGCGGGUCCACGGGGGCCCCGGCGCCGACUGAGGCGAGGGCUGCGGGACAAUCACGCUCGGCCUUCUCCUCUCCCGGGCGGCGCUCUCCCUGUGGCGGGGACCUGGGACGAGGGGGUGGGGUGGGGAGGGGAAGGCAGGAGGGGGCUGCCCUUCCGUUGCCCAUGCUAAAGGUUCCUGUGUAGGAAGCUGGACGCAGCCUGCUGGACUAGUAAUCUUCCUCCUCGCUGGGGCGCGGGGCACUGAAGGGAGGGAGAGACUUUCUCCUCCUUCCUGUUCCCCGGGACAGCUGUGCUCUCCGAAUCCUUCCCUUCUUCCCAGCCCACUUAUUCCCCGCUCGCCAAGCAUCUUCAACUAAAGAUGUCAAAGCACAAGCUCACUUCCCACGGAAGGUAGCAAUUACUAUUAUCUACUUGACAGCUACAAGAACCUAGGCACAGAGGUUAAGUGCUCUGCAAAUACUACCAGCCAGUGGUGGUUUUCCUGCCAGAACCAAGUUCUUGCCUUCCAGUGGACACCAUUGAUCUCUCAAGAUGAUUCUUUAAGUUAAAAAGCACGAAUCACAAAGGGCCUCAAAACCACAUUAAAAUUUAAGAUUGAUCUGCUCUUCUGCUUCUGAAUGUGAGAGCCUAUACUGGAUCUCUGAAGAAAAUAAAGAUGAGAUGAGGUUCUGAUCCCUUGGACUUCAUGAAGUUACGUGACAGAAAGUAUGAUUGUCUAGCCGAUACUUGACUGUGUGAAACCUUCAUCUACUCCGGAAUCCUGAGGCACAGACUCAGAGGCCCUCUGACUCACGAUUAGGGUUGUCAGGGUGAUGCAACAGCAAGACCAUAGCCUUUGGUGUCGGAAUACCAAGUUUUGAAGCUCAGUUUCCCCACUCACUAAUUUUCAGUGAGCACAUACAUAAUUUGAAAUCUGAAAAUGGACAAUAAUGCCUACCUACUUCAAAAUUUGGUUUGAGAAUCAAGUGAAAUAUUAAUAUAUAUGUAAGCAUUUUAUGAACAAGGAAGCAAGUUAUAAAUGCAUUAUCUUGUUAAUUUAGUCAUUUCACUAGGGGUGGGUCCAAUGUGGGCCUCCUUUGAGGUAGACUGUAUUUCAUGAAUUUAUAAUAAAAUUCUAAAGUUUAACAAAGACA